rnacentral:rRNA from 1 species
ACUCCUACGGGAGGCAGCAGUGGGGAAUAUUGGACAAUGGGCGAAAGCCUGAUCCAGCCAUGCCGCGUGAGUGAUGAAGGCCCUAGGGUUGUAAAGCUCUUUCAACGGUGAAGAUAAUGACGGUAACCGUAGAAGAAGCCCCGGCUAACUUCGUGCCAGCAGCCGCGGUAAUACGAAGGGGGCUAGCGUUGUUCGGAAUUACUGGGCGUAAAGCGCACGUAGGCGGAUUGUUUAGUUAGGGGUGAAAUCCCAGGGCUCAACC